CCUCGAAUAUUGAAAUAUAGCGCGACACGUAGGAACACGAGACACAGUAGAAAAAGUGAAGAAACUCGAGAAAACUCGGGAGGGAGGGAUUCACGGGGCACCGUGUGUCUCGGUUAUUCAUAUUUUAUUCGGUCUCGACCCGGUCGGGUCGUGGGCCGCUCUGGGUUCUCGGCACUCGGGGCGGUCGGUAUAUUUCUAAAAAUAGUGGUGCAUCGAAUAACGAGCCGGCCGCGCGCCGCGAACAGUUGAAGUUUGCAUUGUGAACGCGUACAGUCCUGUAUACUGUACUGCUCUACUCCCAUGUAACCGAAGAUUUGACCCAAUGACCCAACGGACGGAGCCGAAACUAGGCGGAAACGGCCGAUCUCCUGUUUCGCCCGUCUCUCACUCUGUCUCUUGCGCACCCACCGGCGACCGCCUCUCUCUCUCUCUCGCUUCUCUGCGCUGUUUUACACUCGUAUUUUUCUUCCUUUCGUUCACCUUUGUACUCGAGUCGAAGUUAAGCUAAUCCACCGUUAAACAAGUAAACUGAGAACACGGCGCAGAAUGUCUCUAUUCUCCAUCGAAUGACGAAAAGCAAAGAAGCAAUAAAGGAGAAGACAAAGCGUCUCUAAGGUGGCUCGACCGUCUAAAAGCAACUAUUCUACACGUUUUUCAAGAAUUAGGUAGCCGUCCCUAUGGGUUUUGUCCGCGGGCAAAGAAAGCAUCGAAGUAAAGAGAAUGGAUGAUAUCGCAGGAGCAACUCGUACGAUCAGCCCGCAAGUAACCCGAGAUAAGAAUAAGAACCGUCCAGAGAAUUGGUGAAAUUAUACGAUUUUUUUUUUUCUCCUACGAUAUAUGGAUUUCGAAGGAACGUUAAUCCUUCUCCAUAAAUUUAUUUCUCCAACGUUCGAUCUCCCAAUCCUUUUCUUAAUUUUUUUUCCAUUGCAUCUCCAGAUAGAAUCCGACUGUUCGCGACACGAAUCUCGACCGAUUGUGAAAUCCAAAUUAUCCAAAGUGACGAAAUGAGAAAGAAUUUUAAAUCAGCAGCGAAUAUACAGAGAGAGAGCAGAGAUAUAUUUCGGGAGCAAACCGUCAGAGUGAAGUUGAGACAACGGUUUCCCAUUUUCCGAUCGGUGUUCCCCUCCUCUGUCGUCGACACUUCCGGGGGAUCAGCUUGUCGCUGGGAGGAGUGCCAGAGCGCUGCUCGAUGAGAAGAAAGGCGAAGGAAAAGGGCAAAGACCGUGGCGGGAAAGAGGUCACCCGGAUUUCGAGCGGGCUUUGCCUCACCAGAGAAAACCGGAGUCGUGUCUCAAGGUGGCCCAUCGUUUUUCGCAAGGGGAGUUUUUGGCACCACGGUCGCCCUCCUUUGCCCACUCGGAAUGAUCGAUCGAUCCAAAACUAUGCUUUUAUCGCUACGAUUUUAGUCGAUAAGGAUAGAGAGAACAAAUGUGUAAUUGCUUCAAAGGAUACUAUUCUUAUAUAUAUGAUCACUUUCUGGCCGACCCAUCGCCCUGCCUCGUCCACCACUUUACAAUUUACCUUGGAAAAAGAGGCUGUUCAACUUAAUUGAAUUCACGCCCUACGAGUAUAACGCGAGGAGCAAUUAAAAGAGCGAUGAAGUAGCCCUUCGGGGGAAGCACUCUGAAAAAUAACGUUCAUUUUGCUCGAAGAAAUCAUCUUCGCUUAUCCGGGAGAUGGCGAUUCCACGAUAAUGAAAGCUCGAGAGAAUGGAGAUCUGAAUCCGACUUCGACCAACGUUGGAUCACACGCGUGCGGUGUUGGAGAAGCGUUUUCGAAACUUUUGGCCAGGGAUGGCCGACAGGGUCUUCGAAGGCGUCGCGAUCGAUUGACCUUCCUCGACUGCGUUUCCGGCCUUACCUUGCACCUGCGAGAAGGCAAAGGGCAAACGAGAUUGACAGAUUGAUAAAUAGCUCGAGAAACCAGCGUGAACAAGAGCGAUGUUAACGAGUUAAGAUACGUUCGAAAGGAUAAUGAAAUUAACAUAUUCGAUCGGGUCGAUUUUUUAUCAGAAAUUUUAAUUACACGAGAAUUAUGCGUUGAGAAUAUAGAAUAGAUCCUUUGGACAAGUUAUCGUCGAUUCGGUUUAACACGUUCGUCAUCCACAUUUGGGUGAGAAGAAAAGAGGCGUUGUUACGAAUCUCCACCGAUAAUACAGAACCGACUUGAAGUUGGUCAACCAUCAAUUAGAGGCUUACAUUCGGAAUGCUUAAGAUCGACUUUGGAAAGUUUUGGAACGGUUGAAACGGACAAAGAAGUAGAAGUAGAGGCACUGAGAGCAUAACUGAUUCAGGAUUCAAGUGGUUACAGUUUACGUUCUUACAAUCUUUCGUACAGUGACAUUUCGACCUCGGUGAGAAACACGACUGAAUCACGCUGGCUGACGAACGUUCCUCGAAAAAGGAUUAAUUAAGUGCACGUGUACACUCGAAAAGUCCCCGUUUUCCCAAAUUCCGUCCCCGUAUCGCUCGUACAUCGCGAGAGGACGUCUCGCGUACGAAAAGUUCGCGGCCCCUUAAAUUCGUAACGUGGAAUGACGUCAUUGGUGAGCGCGCGCGCAAACGUCCCUGUUUCGCGAUCCGCAAACGUCGUUUCCCGUCGAUUCGUGCCACGGGGGCACCGCCAUCGUAAAGCCAUUUCGGGGAUCUCGCGGCACAUAAAUUAUAAAAUCGACCGACGCCGGAUCGUCUGUGCAACGGCCGGCAUCUGGGACGCCGCGGAAGAAUAUUCCCCUCGCUUGUUCGAUUCCGUUUAUUACUUCAGAUUUAUACUCGAUCGAGUGCAAUGGAAACGUUCUACUCGUUUAGGAGAACUUCUCGAAACGAUUUCCACCCAUAUUUUUAUUCCUCCAGCUCGUGAACGUGACGAAACGAGAGAGUCAAAAACAAGAACUAAUAUCGCGAAGAACGAAGAAUUGCGGAGGAGGGAAGAGGAUUGUCGAGGAUGAAAGAGAAAGGUACAACACAAUCGAUCCUCGACACUCGUCACUUGCGUUCACAAUUGGAUGAACGGUCUCGUCGCAUCUUGUCUCACACUGAUACGAUUAAACGAGGAAGAAUAUGAAACGACGUCGAGUGUUUCUACUCUAAAAAAGGAUUGACACGAUAGGUGAUAUAUUUCGUCUAUUGUGGAUGAAAAAAAGAAUCCAUGGAUAUUGAGAAUGCACCGACUCCGACGAUCGAGGUGAAUUUGGCAGAAAUCCAGAACCACCGUCACCAAAAAGAAUGAAAAUCCACGACACGGCCGAUAAUCAUCGUAAACGUUGUCGAAGUCGAAUCGAGGAGGAUCGACGUCAAGAAUGAAUUAAAUAACGCGUGCGUGAAUUUUCGAUGAAGAGAAAAGGAUCUGUUUCGUAUCGUGAUCAAUCGUUCGUGCAGACCACGUUGACUCUAUCCACACAGGAGUAUAUAGCAAUAGAGAAUAGAUUCGAGUGAGAAUUUCCAUUAUUUCUGAAUAAAUUUGGACUCAUUGAGCUUAUUGGGUUAAUGGAGAUACAAUGCAUGUACGUGCGUGUACGUGCGGCAAGAAUUCGCGAGCGGAAAGGAGACAAGCUAGAGCCAGAGGCGUUUCUUGUUAUCCGUGAAUUUCCGGCCGAGCUGUUUACCGCUUCAACCAACGAUCUUAUAAUUACUUAAACAAUGUACAACCACAUAGUUGCUUGACUCUGAGUGCUACUUCCUCCAAACGUAUUGCAUUAAUGAAGUUUUCUUCCGUAUUCCAUCUUAAAAGCGCGAGAACUUUUUUAAUUAAAAUUUUUUUUCUUUUUAUUUUCUUUCAUUAAAAUGAUGAAUAAUUAACGAAGAAAAUAUUUGUCACACAAAGAAAGAUGUUAGAACGUGAGUUAGAAGAAGAAAUGCUUAAUUCUUCGAAUCCUGACUAUCUGUGUUGCUUCUCUAUAAAAUAUUAAAAUAUAUUAAAACGAAAUGGGAAGAUGAAGUAUAACUUUUGUAUUAACUAUGAUACAAAUAUUUUUUCUUUUUGAAUCGGAAAUUAUAAUAUAUUAUGAUCAAUUAAAGAAUACUUUUUAUAGAAAUAAAAAUUACGAAAAAUGGUGAAUAUAAUGAAUAUGUUUCUGAAAAAAAAAGUGAAAAGUGGAAAAAAGAUGAAAAAAAGAAUAAAGAGAGAGGGAUAGAAAUUCGAUCGAAGUUGUUGAAAAGAGGGCGCCACUUUACUGAUCGCCUUAUUUUUCUCCUGACUCAUUCUGAUACUUGCGAAAUAUACACUUGCUCUAUCGCAAUAAUGAUCAACAUUUAUCAUUACAUUUAAAAUUUAGAAUUAAAAUAAAAAGUAAAAGGUAAAUUAAAGCAUAACAAUAUAUUCGAACAAUAUAUACGUGUCUGUUUGAAAGUAAAAUUCUCGUCAAUUGCUCUCGAAAAUAAUUUUUCAUGAAUAACAACAACUUGCUAUAAGAUAAUCACAUUCGAUGUAUACUAACGAGAAAUAAUUCCUAAAAUCAAAUUUCGAGAAUUCUAUUUCUAAAUGAAUUUACAUUUCGAUAUCUUUCAGAAUGAGAUGAGAUGAUUUGAUGAUAUUAUAUGAAAAAGGGUGAUAGCUCCUGAUUCACGUUCGCCUAUAGAAUAUUUACACAAGCGCAUAUGUACACUCUUUGAUUCUCUAAGACACUAAUUGCGAACCACGUCUGGCUGGCUCUCGAGGCACUAAAUUAAUUAAUGGCAUACCAAAUGACGAGUCGUGCGAAGACUCGCUCGGCGAGCCCUCAUUGCCUGAAAAAAGCAAAAUAAUACGGCAUACGAUCGUGCCACGAAUAUCAAUGCUUCUUUCGUUGUCGUCAAGAAGCAGAGAGUCUCAUGCUCGUUAACUAUGUUGUAUCAUCCUAUCGUUUUUUAACUUCCCUCGUUCCUUUCUUUUUUUCUUCUACUUUGCCCACUUUCUUUCAAUUUUUUUUUUUUUCAAUUCUCCUUUUUACCAUCAGAACAAAUUAUGUACGUUCUUUGUGCAAUGUCGUAGCUCACGGAUGUGAUUUAAUACAGUCAUAAUUGUAUAAAUAGUUCUAAUAAUACAUGUCGUCUCCAAGAAGUCUCCUCUAUAUUGAAUCAUAACUCGAAGAAAGAUACCAGUAUUAUUCCUCUAUAUCGUAAAAAUAUUCAAGAAUACGUAACAAUGAAAUCAGCCAGCCAAGAUAUUUCGUUUAAUCCCAUAUUUUCUUUCUCGUAAAAAUUUUAUGAAACAGCACCAUUCUGAUCCAUAAUCCGAGGUAUUACGAGGUAACCG